rnacentral:rRNA from 1 species
GACGAACGCUGGCGGCGUGCCUAAUACAUGCAAGUUGAGCGCUGAAGGUUGGUACUUGUACCAACUGGAUGAGCAGCGAACGGGUGAGUAACGCGUGGGGAAUCUGCCUUUGAGCGGGGGACAACAUUUGGAAACGAAUGCUAAUACCGCAUAAAAACUUUAAACACAAGUUUUAAGUUUGAAAGAUGCAAUUGCAUCACUCAAAGAUGAUCCCGCGUUGUAUUAGCUAGUUGGUGAGGUAAAGGCUCACCAAGGCGAUGAUACAUAGCCGACCUGAGAGGGGGAUCGGCCACAUUGGGACUGAGACACGGCCCAAACUCCUACGGGAGGCAGCAGUAGGGAAUCUUCGGCAAUGGACGAAAGUCUGACCGAGCAACGCCGCGUGAGUGAAGAAGGUUUUCGGAUCGUAAAACUCGGUUGGUAGGGAAGAACGUUGGUGAGAGUGGAAAGCUCAUCAAGUGACGGUAACUACCCAGAAAGGGACGGCUAACUACGUG